AUUUUAGCUUACAAUUUAAUUAUGGUGCUGUGGUAAUAUUUUAGAAAAUUACUCAGUCUUUUAAUACAUAGACUUUGUGACUACUCUUUUUGUACACUUUAUUCAAAAGGGAUGGAAACUACAGGGGCUAUCACCUUCCCUCCACUCUCUAAAGGACUGACUCAACCUCCUACCUAGGAUGCUUGCCUCUGACCUGUGUUCAUUCACUUUAGAGUCUGUCUACACAGCUUCACUCCUGAAACCAGUGACCUAUGAGGGCAUGCGAUCCUGUGGACCUUGAGUUAGAGGUUGUGAGCAACCUGAUAGGAUGACAGGAACCAAACGGUAGUCUUCUCCAAGAGCGGUAUAUGCCUAAACCAUGGAGUGAUCUCUCCAGACCCUCCUACACUGUACUUUCAGUGUUUUUGAAGAAAGGUUUCUAUUAUAGUGAGUAAAAUCUAUAAAGUAUGUAUUUUUAUUAUUAUUAAAGUCUAGGAUUCUGAGACAAAAAA